rnacentral:rRNA from 1 species
UACGUAGGAAGCGAGCGUUGUCCGGAUUUACUGGGCGUAAAGGGCGUGUAGGCGGAGCGGCGCAUCCUGGAGCAAAUCCAACGGCUUAACUGUUGGGCUUUCUGGGAGAUGGCCGCCCUUGAGGACAGGAGAGGAAAGUGGAAUUCCAGGUGUAGCGGUGAAAUGCGUAGAUAUCUGGAGGAACACCGGUGGCGAAGGCGGCAUCCUGGACCGGCAUUGACGCUGAGGCGCGAAAGCCAGGGGAGCAAACGGG